rnacentral:rRNA from 1 species
GAUGAACGCUAGCGGCAGGCCUAAUACAUGCAAGUCGAACGGUGUAGCAAUACACAGUGGCGCACGGGUGCGUAACACGUAUGCAACCUACCUUACAUUGGGGGAUAGCCUUUCGAAAGGGAGAUUAAUACCGCAUAAGACAGUAACUAGGCAUCUAGUAGCUGUUAAAGAUUUAUCGAUGUAAGCUGGGCAUGCGUCCAAUUAGUUAGUUGGCGAGGUAAUGGCUCACCAAGACGAUGAUUGGUAGGGGAACUGAGAGGUCAAUCCCCCACAUUGGCACUGAGAUACGGGCCAGACUCCUACGGGAGGCAGCAGUAGGGAAUAUUGGGCAAUGGGCGCAAGCCUGACCCAGCCAUGCCGCGUGCAGGAAGAAGGCGCUAUGCGUUGUAAACUGCUUUUAUACAGGAAGAAACGACCCUUGCGAGGGGCAUUGACGGUACUGUAUGAAUAAGCACCGGCUAACUCUGUGCCAGCCGCCGCAGUAAAAC